AAGGCUGGCCAUGAAAUGAGGUUGAGUACU
rnacentral:piRNA from 1 species